rnacentral:tRNA from 1 species
UCCGCCCUGGUGUAACGGCAGCACGCCGGCCUUUGGUGCCGUGUGGUCCGGGUUCGAAUCCUGGGGGCGGAGCCG